AUUAACUCAACACACAAAGCUAAACUCCAAUUUCAGUAAUUCAGAGAGGCCUACCCCCCCUUAUAAGCGGCUAAAAAAAUUUUGCCCCUCCUAAAAAUCAGUAUUUAAUAGUAAACAUCAUUGCAACGGAUGAAACAGAGCCAUUUUCAACUUACAUCUAUUUCGGUGACUGACAGCCAAACAGCUACAGAGCACAUAUUCAGAGCCAGUAGCUGGAGCCUGACUCAUGCCAGCUAUGUUCCUGCUGCUCAGUUUGCAUUUUAAGUGGGCCUUUGAAAAGGAGACCGUACCCAUAUCGACUCAAGGAAUGAAGAGAAAUUCCCUUGGGGCAGCCAGGCAUCUCUGUUAGUCUUUGCUAACAGCUCCAUCUCUCUGUAACAUGAUUUCUUGCAACUUUAUUUGGUGCCUGUGUCAUCUAGACAGUCCUGGUCCUAAAGCUUCACUUGCCACUCUGAGCAGCCAUCAUCC
rnacentral:lncRNA from 1 species